UACGAAGGGGGCUAGCGUUGCUCGGAAUUACUGGGCGUAAAGGGCGCGUAGGCGGAUGGCACAGUCAGAUGUGAAAUUCCUGGGCUUAACCUGGGGGCUGCAUUUGAUACGUGUGAUCUGGAGUGAGGAAGAGGGUUGUGGAAUUCCCAGUGUAGAGGUGAAAUUCGUAGAUAUUGGGAAGAACACCGGUGGCGAAGGCGGCGACCUGGUCCUUAACUGACGCUGAGGCGUGAAAGCGUGGGGAGCGAACCGG
rnacentral:rRNA from 1 species